rnacentral:tRNA from 1 species
GGAUCGAUAGCUCAGUGGUAUGAGCGAGGGAUUGCAGAUCCCUAGGUCGCGUUGUUCGAUCCACGCUCGGUCCU